rnacentral:rRNA from 2 species
AGUGGGGAAUAUUGCACAAUGGGCGAAAGCCUGAUGCAGCGACGCCGCGUGAGGGAUGACGGCCUUCGGGUUGUAAACCUCUUUCAGCAGGGAAGAAGCGAGAGUGACGGUACCUGCAGAAGAAGCGCCGGCUAACUACGUGCCAGCAGCCGCGGUAAUACGUAGGGCGCAAGCGUUGUCCGGAAUUAUUGGGCGUAAAGAGCUCGUAGGCGGCUUGUCACGUCGGGUGUGAAAGCCCGGGGCUUAACCCCGGGUCUGCAUUCGAUACGGGCAGGCUAGAGUGUGGUAGGGGAGAUCGGAAUUCCUGGUGUAGCGGUGAAAUGCGCAGAUAUCAGGAGGAACACCGGUGGCGAAGGCGGAUCUCUGGGCCAUUACUGACGCUUGAGGAGCGAAAGCGUGGGGAGCGAACAGGAUUAGAUACCCUGGUAGUCCACGCCGUAAACGGUGGGAACUAGGUGUUGGCGACAUUCCACGUCGUCGGUGCCCGCAGCUAACGCAUUAAAGUUCCCCGCCUGGGGAGUACGGCCCGCAAGGCUUAAAACUCAAAG